AGAGACAUGGCGGGGAGUGUUGUGUGUGAAUGGCUGCUGCAUCACAUCCAAAGCGGAGAAUUGGGCUGUCUGCCUCAUCUUUACUGGCGUGACAGGUUUAAUGAAGACGGGAGACUGAAUACAGAUGUUAUAAGGCGGCGCCGACAGUAUAAGAUUUCAACAAGAGGGAAUGCGACACGUGCGUCAAUUGAAUUUUCAUAAGAGGAUUCAAGAAUGAGAACCAUCAAGCUUAGUGACUAAACUACGUAAUGCUGCUACCUACUCCAUAGAUGAAUGACUCGCUGGCAGCCUGUGAGAAUGUGUGCCCGCACGUU